UCUAACAUGUGCGCGAGUCGCUGGGCAAUUACGAAACCCACAGGCGCAAUGAAAGUAAAGGCCUUCCGCUAGGUUGGCUCAGGUAGGAUCCGUGCGGCGUAACAGCUGCGCGGCGCACUACCGGCUCAUCUUGACCGCCACGUCGGUGAGGCGACGCUAAAGCGUACACGUUGGG
rnacentral:rRNA from 1 species